CCGGGUCUGGCGCGCCAUGCGCGACAUGGCGGGGCGGGAGCAGGGAGCGUCAAAAGCGGGGAAAGCAGCCGGAAUGAAGGCGGCGAAGAAAGCGCCUAAAGUGCCCAGAGCGGGUAAAAUGACGAAACCCAAGCGAACGGCGAAGCGGCUCCUGGCCGUGGGGAAUCAGGCGGCGGCCUCUGAGGCAGCGCGGCGCGCCCGCCACCUGAAGGCGCUGGGCCGCGUGUCGGGAGCCGAGCGGGAGCUGGAGGAGCUGGUGUUCGGCGACAGCCUCAACGCGGAGGAGGACGAGCUGCUGCGGCGCCUGGCCGGGCCUCGACGGGUUGCCGCUGCAGAGGGGAAGGGUCUCCAGGAAGAGUCCAGCGAUUCGGGGGUGGAAAAUGAAGCCAAACGUGACUUACCGCUCAAAAAGCCGGCCUGGGUAGAUGAGGAUGAUGAAGCUGAGGAAAAUGUUGAUAUGACCCAUAAGUACAGGAAAGAUUUCAUGAAAAGUGAUGCCGAGACAACGCUCACCAAGAAAAAACUAAAGAAAAGACUUGAGGAACAGUUUCAGCAAGCCAUGGGAGGAGUUCCUGCUUGGGCUGAUUUGGAAAACAGGAAGAAAUCCAAAAGGACUUUGAGUGAUAGUGACAGUGAUGAAGAUGAUGAUCUGCUACGCAGGACUGGCAAUUUCAUAACAAGCUCAGAGUCUCUGCCAAGAGGGAUUUUGAAGGUGAGCACCUGCCUUCCUGCAAACCAGGAACGUUUUGCCAAUGGAAAGCUGGUGACAGUGCAGUUCCAUCCUUCAGCUCAAGUGGUGAUGACAGCUGGCCAUGAUCGCUCCGUGUCCCUCUUCCAGGUGGACGGUAUAAGGAACCCGAAAAUACAGAGCAUCUAUUUAGACAGUUUUCCAAUUUAUAAGGCUCGUUUCAGUGUGGAUGGAGAACAAGUUAUAGCCACUGGCACUCACCACAGCAUGUUCUUUGUGUAUGACAUGAUGGCUGGGAAUAUCAUCCCUAUCCCAAAAGUACGAGGUGUGGAGGAAAAAUUCCUCAGGAACUUCGAACUCUCUCCAGAUGGAUCAUUUAUGCUGCUAAUUGGAACUUCAGGUUACCUUCACUUGCUGUCCAUGAAGACAAAAGAGCUGAUCAGCACUAUGAAGGUGAAUGGAAGGUGCACUGCCUCUGCUUUCACCCCAGACAGCAGUAAAAUAUACAGCUAUUCAAAGGAAGGUGAAGUUUUCAUUUGGGAUGUGAGGAGCAGAAAGAGUCUACAUAAAUUUGAAGAUGAAGGUGCUUUGGAAGGAAAGUGCAUUGCUGUUUCAAAAAAUAACCAGUAUGUGGCAUGUGGUUCAUCUUCUGGAGUUGUAAAUUUAUACACUACUGAUGCCUGCCUCAAAGAAAAACAUCCUAAACCAGUUAAGGCCAUAAUGAACCUUGUUACUUCUGCCACCUGUGUGACCUUUAAUCCCACCACAGAGAUUUUGGCAGUGGCUUCCCGAGACACUGAUGAGGCUGUCAGAUUGGUGCACCUUCCUUCAUACACUGUAUUCUCCAACUUCCCAGUCUUCAGAAAAAAACAGAUUUAUCUUACUCAAUCUAUGGACUUCUCUCCCAGAAGUGGAUAUUUCUCUGUAGCAAAUAACAAAGGCAAAGCUUUGUUAUUUAGGCUGAAACAUUAUUCAUUCUUCUGAAAGAAGAUACAGGAGAAAAUGAACCAGUAACUGAGGUGAAAACAGCACUAGAACUGUUUACAGUGUUGGCUCGAGGAGCCUCAAAAUUUUCACUUUGCCUCCACUACUUUAAAGAUGGCAGGAAGAAUUUCUUAGUCCUGUGUGAUCUGUCCUGCCUGGGUCACUCGUGGGCUGGAGUAGGACUGGCCUUGUCACUCUCAGCUUUUCUGAUAAUGCAGCAAGUUGAUAGUUCAACAAAAACUGCUGUCAGCCAGACUGAGCUGGUUAUAUUUGAGUCAAACUCAGCAGUGUUGAUAAACAGCUGCAGGCUGGCAGGGACUUGGCUUGAUCCUGUUCUGGAGUGUUGUGAGCCCACAGAAGUCUGCAUCAUUUCAAAUUCCCAUUACAGGAAUUACUGAAGUUUGAAGCUUAGUUUGUUUGCAGAUACAAUUUUAUUGUGCACUUAAAUGUCUUCUUGGGAAACUGGGAAAUCUUGCGGCCUUGACAAUAGUACAUUAGAUUGACAAAAACUGUGUUAAGGAGGGGAGGCUGAAGUUGUGUAGACUGGAAGCAGCUCUGACUGCAGCAUGUUAAGCUUGCAUAGAAUUUUGUGAUGGCUCAGUGUUUGGAAAAUACUAACAAAAUUAUCUCUACUGGUCUUUCCCCAGGUAACCUGCAGAUAAAACAAUGCUGACAAAAUCAAAGCUUUUUUUUUUCAAUUAUUAUUAUUUUUUUAUUUUAUAUGGAAGCUACAACAUACUAAUAGAAUAUAUGUAUUUUUAAAUUUGUUUGUUUUAAAUAAAUGCACCUGGAAGUUUCCAGGCCACUUGUUUCAACUUAUUCCAGUGCUUUGUGUAAGCUCACAAGUACAAUUUUAUUGCUUGACACUCAAGCUUGUGUCUUCCAGAAGUGCUUGAAUGUCUUAAUUAUUAUAAUUAUGUGCAAUAUUUCAGUGCUGAAACCGAAAUUUUGUGCAAACUGACCUCUGCUCCAUGCAUUUAGCAGGAGCUUUUCCAUCAGCCUGCUUCACUUGAGGCUGGGCUGGAAACAGCAUUUUGCUGCCUGGAGGAGCCCAGUCCCCUGAGACCCUGCUGAUGUUGGUGUUGCAGCUCAGCCCAACUUCCCAGCUGUAGCUUCAAGGUGCCCUAAACCAAGAGGUGAAAAAAACCCACCCUGAUUAUGCUUUCCUGCCUCCUGUGUCACAGAGACAACUGCACCUAACAUGGGUUUAAUUCUUAAGGAAAACCCCAGUCUUACCUUUAUGUGAAAGUGAAGAAUCCUGAGUAUCACAUGAUUUUUAAAUCAGUGGUGAAAUUGUAAUACUAUUAGGGUCCCCAAGCUGGGACUGCCAAAUCCUUCUCCUCUCUUCCUGAAGUGGCUACCUUGUUCUGCUUAAAUUUUUGAGAAAAAAAGGUUGAUUAGGGACCUGCUACAGUAAAACCCUGAUUUGAGAAUAAAUUGUGACUCAUGUCUGACCUCUUCCCACAAUGGAAUUUUUUGGGAAGAGACAGCACCAGUCAAGGUGCUCCAGUAACCAGCACUGAAGUCAUUAGCACUUCAGUGAAAGUGGCAUCCCAGAAGAUGUACUCUGAGCAUGAGAAAAAUUAAUUGUGUAACCACGUUAAAGAUUUUGACUACAGGAGCCUAUUCUUGUCAUGCUAUUUUAAAAAAUAAAAUAGCCUAUGUUCAGAUAUAUUAGGUCUUUGAAGUGUUUUUGCCAGUGAUUCUUUGUAAGAUGAGAACUUGAAUUCACAAGUCUUGGAAAAAGCAGAGUGUGCUCUGGAGGUGUUAAAUUGAGUACAGUGUUUAAUCUCAACCUAAACUGAAGACCCUAGGAUGGAAGAGUAAAAUUAAAACAUAAGAUGCACUGAUUAAGAUGCUGCUGUAGGAUUCUUCUGUUAUAAACAGAACUCUCUCUGGGACUGAAUGGCCUCAAACCAGGGCCAAGAGACAUGUCUGGGGUACAAAGUUGAGAAGCGAGUAUUUUCUUUAUUCGGUGUGCUGGGUGCACGGGGAGAUCUCCUCCUGUGUGUAUAACCACGCACACAGGUGCACAGCAGAUUUCAAUGUAUGGUCAUACUUUAUGCAUAUUCAUAGUUUUCCUUAGAAAAGGUGUGGUAAUGCAAACUCUUAGAACUCAUCGUUAGCACGCGUGAAGCACGGGCGCAGUGCACCCCGCUGGUUGCCAGGAAGGCUCCACGUCUUCCCCUGGUGCAGGCUGGAUGUCUUCAUCCCCAUGCCCUUUUCACCUUUCUCCCCUAGCCAUGAGCAAUCUCUCAUUAGCUGUUUCAGGGGUUUUCUCGCUGGUUCUAGCAAACUGUCCUUUAUUUUUGCAAGUUCCGUUCCCUGCUUCUUGCCAAGUUUCAUCCUGUAUCUCUUGUCACUAAUUUUUGCUAGCUUCUAUAUUGGUUAAAAUGUAUUUUACUCUUGCCCAAGUAUGCCUAGAUACAAUCCUUUUAACCCUUUCAGGACUGAGACCUGAAUUUCAGAAAUCCAGGUGCUGGAAGUGGUUUCUGACUUCACUAGAGGGCAGCACAGCAUCACUUAUGGAACACACUCGGGUGUUGAAUGGUACUGACCAGUUUGUCCUGAGACAGCUCUGCUGAUGGGAGAGGGUUUGGUUGUGGUUAGCAAGUAAUUCUCUUUUCUCAUCAUCUCUGUAUGUUAUAAUUAAGUAAAGUUUAAGUGGUGUGACUUCAUCCAUAAAAUUAGUAAAUAAUUUCAAAUUAAAGAUUUCUGAAAAGGUAAAUUAAAAAACUGUUACCGAAUCUCACUGAAGGGGCUGUGAAGGAUUUUAAUGCUCCUGAGGCUGUUCCACUUUUUGCACAGUAUGCGCUUCUCCAGUGUACCCAUUUGAAAGCAAAAUGCCCAAAUCCAGUAAUUCAAAGCCAUACAGCAAGUCAUUGGCAGGUCUGGGGUUAGAAUUUGGGAAUUACUGGGUCCUGGACUUGUUUAUCUUAGCUGAACACAAGGAAUACCUGCUGUUUUUUCCAGCUCAUCUUGCUGACCUUUGGUUGUAAGAGGUCAAAAUUGGAUGAAGCAGGGGAGUAAAUGGAAAAAGUGUCAUAAAACCAAGGUUUUGUUUGCUCUUGUAUCACUGGAAAUGGCUUCAAAUAGUGGCCACUUCCAGAGAAAUAGAAAGAAAGAAAGAAAGAAAAGUUUAAAUGCUGCCCUCCCGGCCAGCUGAUGACAGACGUGGAGGAGGGGCAGCAGAUUCCCCCUUGAGCUGCGUUGAGUCCCAGGUGCCAUUGGCACAUCAUAAAACACAGAGCAGCACACGGGUCCCAGGGUAACUUUAUUUGAUGGUAAAAGUUCCCCUCUUCAUCCUGGGAGGAACAGGAACAGGGGGGCAGACAGAAGUUUAUAUCUGGGGGCAGGUCUCAGGGGAGGGUACAAUCUUUAACAAAUCAGGAGAAUUGGGAGCAAAAAACCAGGCAGGAGCCACAAUGUAUCAACCAAUAGAAAUUCCAAGGGAGGAGAACAGUUUCAGUAAACUGACAAAGUUUGGGGAAAUAGAAACUAGAAACUAACAACAAGAAAGUGACGAAAGUUCUAGGAAAAGGCGGGAACAAAAAGGAAACAACAUAAUGAAAACGCCCACAUUACAAAUCAAACUAUUAACCUACUAAUAAACAGCGCAAUACAACAGUUAAACAUUUAUUUCUUGCAAAAUGUGUGAUGCAAGUUGCAAAUUUUAAGCUUUGCUGAGUAACUGCACUGCAGAAAAGUUUAAGCUUUGUACUAAAUAACUUAAUUCUUGCUGCUGCAUAUUUAUCUUCUGGAAGACACAGCUUAUUACCCCAUCAAAUAUAAAAUAGGGAAGACUUGCUCUGAGAAAUAAAGGAAACCGCAAGGUACCAGUUGAAUUCUGUAGUGGGUUUUGAGCAAUGACACUUUCCUGUACUUAGAAGGUCGUAAAGGUUGGAUGAUAGGCAAGAAGCUGAAACUAGUGUCUGGAGAUAUUUAUUUGGAAAGGUGAAUUACUGUAAAGUACACACUUUGCAGUACUCUUGUUCUGAAAACGUCAGCUCUUUAUCAGUUUGCAAAGUGUUAAAAGUGCUUAAGCUUCUGACCUAUUUAAAAUUUCUGUGUUUAUUUCUUUUUGUUCCUAGCAUGGCUUUUUUCUUCCAGCAUGGCUUUUUGUUCCUCAGCACUGCUAAGCUCCAGUUCUUUUAAUGAAUUAUUUCUCUGCUUUUCUGUCACUGAUAUUUUACGAAAAAUCCCUUCACCAGGAUUUCUUCUGAGAAGCUGAGAAGCCUCAGAAAAGAAAUGUAAACAAUAAUUAUCUGAUUGCUUUCCAAUGUGGUCUGGAGAUCGUUUACCAACAGGUGCAUCUUUGAUUGGUUCCGUGUGAAUUGUUUUUACUUAAUGACCAAUCCCAGUCUAACUUUGCCAGACUCUCUGGUCUGUCACGGGUUUUUAUUAUUCAUGCCUUUCCUAGCCUUCUGUCUGUAUCUUUUCUCUAUUCUUUUUAGUAUAGCUUUAGUGUAGCAUUCUUUAAUGUAAUAUAAUAUCAUAAUAUAAUUGGCAUUGGGCAGGUCGCGGGAGGCGAUCGGGGCACGCGUCAGGAGGGGCCGUGCCCUGUCUCUGCCGCCGGCGGGCAGGGUCACGGUUCGGCUGGCUCGGGGCGUGGGUUCAACACCUAAGGAUUCAUGGCAAAGGAAAUAAGGAAGGACCCUGUGCUUGCUUCUCUGAGCUGCUUUUAUCUCUCUCCUGCGCGAGGAUGGUGCUGCCGGGGUGGCACCGCUUGGGGUUGGCAGCGUGGCUUUCCCGUGGUGGCAGCAGCGCCAGCACGAGGCAGAUGAUGUGACUGUCCCUGUCUCUGUCUCUGUCUCUG